rnacentral:rRNA from 1 species
UAGUGGCGAACGGGUGAGUAACACGUGGGUGAUCUGCCCUGCACUUCGGGAUAAGCUUGGGAAACUGGGUCUAAUACCGGAUAGGAGCCAUCUUUAGUGUGGUGGUUGGAAAGUUUUUUCGGUGUAGGAUGAGCUCGCGGCCUAUCAGCUUGUUGGUGGGGUAAUGGCCUACCAAGGCGGCGACGGGUAGCCGGCCUGAGAGGGUGUACGGCCACAUUGGGACUGAGAUACGGCCCAG